rnacentral:misc_RNA from 1 species
GAUGAAGAACUUAGCGAAAUGCGAUAAGUAAUGUGAAUUGCAGAAUUCCGUGAAUCAUCGAAUCUUUGAACGCACAUUGCGCCCUCUGGUAUUCCGGGGGGCAUGCCUGUCCGAGCGUCAUUUGCAACCCUCAAGCCCGGCUUGUGUGAUGGGUGCCGUCCCCUACGGGACGCGCCCCGAAGGCAAUGGCGGCGUCGCGGUUAUCCGAUCAGCCAAAGUGUAUGGGGCUUUGUCACUCACUUUACGGCCCGGACCGGCGCCAGUCCGAAUCAAUCUUUUUUCUAAAGUUGACCUCGGAUCAGGUAGGGAUACCCGCUGAACUUAAGCAUAUCAAUAAGCGGAGGA